AUGGGAGUAGAGUAGAAAGGGGCUGCUUGGCGUUCGGGAUGCAGACGGCUACCAGGACAGUUUCGAGCAUCGGCGGAAUUCAAAUCAAGACGACAGGAGUAGCUAAGCUAAGGGGAUAUUGAGUUUUUAGUUUUCAAUAUUAGUGUUCCAGAAGCUGCUUGGCGUUCCGGGUGGAACAACUUCGAAGAUUUUGAAGACAGGGCAGUUUCGGCGGUCAACAGGAUUGGAUUUCAGACGAUAGGAGUGACGAAAGGAGCUGCUUGGUUUUCGGGGUGCGGACACUUCCAAGCCGAGGAUAGCCUCAAUGGUCACUUCCAGGAUGGGCAGGAUUGGAAAUCAGAUGACAGGCGAAAUACAAGGAUGUCCGACAGGCACGCCGUUCACGUUAGCGGAGAAAGGAUUUCAGAAACUUUGAUGCGAACUCGAUGAGAUUUCAAAUGUCAAGGGACAAAUGAUGUGGAAUCGGCGGCAGGCAACAGGAUUCGACACGGUCAUUGGAACUUCGUGAACUUUCUUUUUUGUCUUUUUUUUUUCAUUGCUUUUCUUGCCCACGUCUUUUCAUCGGUUUCCGGUGUUUCGUUAUCUCUUUGUCGUCCGGGUCUUUUUUCGGUGUCUCGAGAGUUCUGUUUCUUUGUUGCAAUCGUCCCGGUUUUGUCCUAGUUGGUCGUUUGUCCUUCUGGUAGUCCUUCUGGUUUUUAGUGGUAGUC
rnacentral:sRNA from 14 species